rnacentral:rRNA from 1 species
ACCUAGUAGUACGGAAUAGCCAUUAGAAAUGGUGGGUAAUACUGUAUAAUCCCCGAGGGGGAAAGAUUUAUCGCUAAGAGAUGAGCCUACGUUAGAUUAGCUAGUUGGUGAGGCGAUGGCUUACCAAGGCUAUGAUCUAUAGCUGGUCUGAGAGGACGAUCAGCCACACUGGAACUGAGAUACGGUCCAGACUCCUACGGGAGGCAGCAGUGGGGAAUAUUGGACAAUGGGCGAAAGCCUGAUCCAGCUAUGCCGCGUGAGUGAAGAAGGCCUUCGGGUUGUAAAACUCUUUCAAUAGGGAAGAUAAUGACGGUACCUAUAGAAGAAGUC